rnacentral:lncRNA from 1 species
UCUGAGUUAAUGCAUUUUUACUUCCUAAGUCUGGAAGUUGUCCAAGAUAUCAGAUAAACAGUACAUCUACCUGGAUCAGGACUUUUCUGUUCCGAGAGCCACACAAACAGAGAACAAACAGAUGAUCCUGGGAGCAAAGUAGUUAUAAUCUGAAGGCCUCUUCAAAGAUAAGUAUUUGUUUCUGCAUUUCACUGACUACUG